rnacentral:lncRNA from 1 species
CAGCAAGGAGGCUCCCUGAGGAACAGUCAGAGGAAGUCUUCCUACAAAAUACCUGCCAGUGAGGUACAGAUCCUGUUUAGGACCAGAAUGUCAAAAUCUAGCACGAAGAAGAGGUGAACAACAAGCCAAGUAGAUAGUCUGAAAGGUGCUCUUCAAUGUGGCACAAAUAAGACCACAGCUUCUGGGAACAGCAGAUAAUAGAUGAGAUGGCAUGGAGAGGGCAGAAGAAAUUAGAAUGGCUGGGGGUGACAAUCAAAUAAUUGUGACAAGCACUGUGGAGCAAUUUAGAGGCUGGGAGCUCCUGUGGACAUCUAGGUAAAAACCGAUGAGUUUUAGAUUUGAAUUUUGGUGCUUGACUUUGACAUCCUAGUCCAGGAGACAGACUCUAUCCCAGAAUAAUUUAGUAGGC